rnacentral:rRNA from 1 species
GACGAACGCUGGCGGUGUGCUUAACACAUGCAAGUCGAACGCUGAAGCUCUGCUUUUGUUGGGUGGAUGAGUGGCGAACGGGUGAGUAACACGUGAGUAACCUGCUCCCUUUUUUGGGAUAACGCCCGGAAACGGGUGCUAAUACUGGAUAUUCACUGGUCUUCGGUUGGGGGUGGGUGGAAAGGGUUUUUCUGGUGGGGGAUGGGCUCGCAGCCUAUUAGCUUGUUGGUGGGGUGAUGGCCUAACAAGGCUUUGACGGGUAGCCGGCCUGAGCGGGUGACCAGUCACAUUGGGACGGGGAAAAGACCCAGACUCCGACGGGAGGCGGCAGAGGGGAAAAUUGCCGAAUGCAUGGAAGCAUGAUGCAGCGGCGCCGCGUGAGGGAUUGGGGCCUUCGGGUUGUGAUCCUCGGACGCUCAGGGACAGGCCUAAACAAUGGUUGUGGUGAGGGUAGUGAGUAAAGAAGCGCCGGCUAACUACGUG